GGGGAAGAAGGUUCCCCUUCGGGGAUGAACUAAAGGGGAAGAAGGGGGUUCCCCUUUAGGGGAAGAACUUUAGUUCCCCUUUAGGGGAUGAUGCCGAAGGGUGUCAUCUUCUUUGGGUAACCCAAAGGGGAUAAACAAAGGGAACCCAAAGGUUCCCGGAGGGUAUCACUUCCCCCUUCGGGUUGUCUGUCCCCCUUGUUCAUCCCCUAAAGGGGAACUAAAGGGGAUGGGGGAACAAAAAGGUUGUCCCCCUUUAGUUCCCCUAAAGGGGAUGAACCAAAGGCUCUAAGAGUUUGGUGGUCCUCUUUGGGUGUCUUUGGUUCCCCUUUAGUUCAUCCCCGAAGGGGAACCUUCUUCCCCUUUAGGGGACUCCGUCCCCUAAAGGGGAAGAAGGGGAACACCCCUUCGUCUCCCCUUUGGGGAACACUAAAGGGGAAGAAGAAGAAGAAGAAGAAGAAGAAGAAGAAGAAGAAGAAGAAGAAGAAGAAGAAGAAGAAGAAGAAGAAGACCAGAGGGGACAGGGCAUAACUUGACGAGGGGGGGGGGACAGCCAACCAACCGGCCUUAAGCCGGAUACUAUAACGUAGUAACAGCCAACAUAUUAACAUAUAGCUUCAACUUGGCUGCAGAGCAGCUGCUUCUAAACUUCACUAAACCAGAGCGUCAGCGUCAGCCACGUGAGCUACUUAAGUUUGUCCAUCCCGAAGGGGGGGGCUUACUUUAACGUAAUUAUGCUACAGAACUUAUCUUGUGAGGGACUCUGGCCCGAACAAAGGUAAACAAUAUAUGGUGUUAAGCCUAGUUCUCUUUUAGGGGCGAAGCCCCCCGCGAAAUAGUAAUGUAGCUUAUGUUAUUAACCACAUUCAACUACACAGGACUCUAAACUACACAGGACUCUCGCUACUGUAGUCCGUUGUGAGUAUUGUCUUUUAGACGCAGGCCGUUGGCACUACUCUAGGUGCUAGAAAUACGCUGUAACUUGUGAGCGGGUUGUCUUCCCCUAAAGGGGAACAAACUUCGGUUCCUUGUCAUCCCC
rnacentral:lncRNA from 1 species